UGGGGAAUAUUGCACAAUGGGGGCAACCCUGAUGCAGCGACGCCGCGUGCGGGAUGAAGGCCUUCGGGUUGUAAACCGCUUUCAGCAGGGGCGAAUUUGACGGUACCUGCAGAAGAAGCGCCGGCUAACUACGUGCCAGCAGCCGCGGUAAUACGUAGGGCGCGAGCGUUGUCCGGAAUUAUUGGGCGUAAAGAGCUCGUAGGCGGCCUGUUGCGUCCGCUGUGAAAUCCCAGGGCUCAACCCUGGGCGUGCAGUGGAUACGGGCAGGCUGGAGGCAGGCAGGGGAGAACGGAAUUCCCGGUGUAGCGGUGAAAUGCGCAGAUAUCGGGAGGAACACCGGUGGCGAAGGCGGUUCUCUGGGCCUGUUCUGACGCUGAGGAGCGAAAGCGUGGGGAGCGAACAGGAUUAGAUACCCCUGUAGUCC
rnacentral:rRNA from 1 species